AGAAUCAACGCUGGCGGCGUGCCUAACACAUGCAAGUCGAACGAGAAAGUGGUAGCAAUACCAUGAGUAAAGUGGCGCACGGGUGAGUAACACGUGACUAACCUACCCUGGAGUGGGGAUAACUGAGGGAAACCUUAGCUAAUACCGCAUAACACCUACGGGUCAAAGGAGCAAUUCGCUUCAGGAGGGGGUCGCGGCAGAUUAGCUAGUUGGCGGGUAAUGGCCACCAAGGCAGUGAUCUGUAU
rnacentral:rRNA from 1 species